AUUUCGUUUUUUCGUAAAAAUAAAAUUAUUUUUGCUGCUUUGUUUUUAUGUUAUAUAUAUUUCCGUUUACUCUUUGUACUUAACCGCAUUACUUAAGCAUUUUAUUGCGCCUUUGUACGUCUGCGGAGCUGUAACCCCGAACUUGUUUUGGCGUGCUCGCUGGUCGGGCGCUGCAGCUUGUCGGUUCUGCAUCGUUUUUUCUCGUUUUUUGAGGUGUGCUUGCGCGCUGCGUUCGUGUUUUGUGUUCUGCCGGUGCUGCCUAUUACGAAGAUGAACUCUACUCAAGCGAGGACGUGUGGCGUCGCAUUUUGGAACACUCGCCAGUCUAUACAUGCUCGUCGUAGGAAGAGAGUGUGGGAGACGUCUGGACUAGCCCAUCAUCCAAGGCUGGCUUGUGGAAAAUUUGACUGCUGGUGCACAUCAGUGGCGCAUGGCUUCUGUUUCUUCUGAAAAGCGAGCUGCAGAGAGCCACCUGGUAGCUGUAUUCAAGGAGCACAAAGGUUCAGGGUGUUCAAAGUUAACCCUUUUGUUUUUCCUUAAAAGAGAA